rnacentral:misc_RNA from 1 species
GAAAUGCGAUAAGUAGUGUGAAUUGCAGAAUUCAGUGAAUCAUCGAAUCUUUGAACGCACAUUGCGCCCCUCGGUAUUCCGUGGGGCAUGCCUGUUCGAGUAUCAUGAAAUCUUCAAAGUAAAUCUUUUGUUAACUCAAUUGGUUUCUACUUUGGUAUUGGAGGUCUUUGCAGCUUCACACCUGCUCCUCUUUGUUCAUUAGCUGGAUCUCAGUGUUAUGCUUGGUUCCACUCGGCGUGAUAAGUUAUCUAUCGCUGAGGACACUGUAAAAGGUGGUCAAGGUAAAUGCAGAUGAACCGCUUCUAAUAGUCCAUUGACUUGGACAAUACUUUUAUGAUCUGAUCUCAAAUCAGGUAGGACUACCCGCUGAACUUAAGC